rnacentral:misc_RNA from 1 species
UUGCCCUGUAAGCCCCUCGGUGC